CUGACUGUCUGCUCUGGCACAUAACCGACCUGGGAGCUGGUGAGCGCUGCCUCUCAGAUCCCCAGCCAAAGGUCAGUAGCUGCAUGGUGGCCUCUGGAUUCCUUGGAUACCGACCCUUGUCAUGUGGGGAGGCAUUAACCUUUGGCCCUGACUCAUCCUGCUUCUCACCAGCCAGUGCUUCUCACUUUCCUUGGGGCUGGGAACUUACAGCCACACAAGUCCUUCUUCUGGGAAAAAGGUCCCAUAAAGUGCUUCCCAACAUGUGCAAGAAUGCAAAUAGGAUUUGAAGAAGAUUCGUCUCAUUUGAUUAUAUCUCUAAGCAACUGGUCUUCUGGUCUUUUGCACAAGUGAAAAUCAGUAGUUUGAGCAUUCAGACCAAACAGAAAAGAGAAGAGAAGAACCCUGAGGAUGUGAAAUCUUGUACAGACACCUGCAAAAACCAAAGCAGGUGUUUUCUGUGUUGCACUGUCAGGAGUGCUGUGCAGAGCAAGAGGAGUGGUUGCCUCAC